UUCCGGUUGAUCCUGCCGGACCUGACUGCUAUCGGAUUGAUACUAAGCCAUGCGAGUCUUUGCAGUAAUGCAAGGCAUACGGCUCAGUAACACGUAGUCAACUUACCCUAUGGACGAGGAUAAUCUCGGGAAACUGAGCAUAAUACUCGAUAGAUCAUAAUGCCUGGAAUGGUUUAUGGUUAAAAUGAUUCGUCGCCAUAGGAUGGGACUGCGGCCUAUCAGCUUGUUGGUGAGGUAAUGGCCCACCAAGGCGAUUACAGGUACGGGCUCUGAGAGGAGAAGCCCGGAGAUGGGUACUGAGACAAGGACCCAGGCCCUAUGGGGCGCAGCAGGCGAGAAAACUUUGCAAUGUGCGAAAGCACGACAAGGUUAAUCCGAGUGAUUUCUGCUAAAGAAAUCUUUUGCAAGUCAUAAAACCACUAGUGAAUAAGGGGUGGGCAAGUUCUGGUGUCAGCCGCCGCGGUAAAACCAGCACCUCAAGUGGUCAGGAGGAUUAUUGGGCCUAAAGCAUCCGUAGCCGGCUCUGUAAGUUUUCGGUUAAAUCCAUGUGCUCAACGCAUGGGCUGCCGAAAAUACUGCAUAGCUAGGGAGUGGGAGAGGUAGACGGUACUCGGUAGGAAGGGGUAAAAUCCUUUGAUCUAUCGAUGACCACCUGUGGCGAAGGCGGUCUACCAGAACACGUUCGACGGUGAGGGAUGAAAGCUGGGGGAGCAAACCGGAUUAGAUACCCGGGUAGUCCCAGCUGUAAACGAUGCAGACUCGAUAAUGCACUGGCACAUAGCCAGUGCAGUGUCGCAGGGAAGCCGUUAAGUCUGCCGCCUGGGAAGUACGUACGCAAGUAUGAAACUUAAAGGAAUUGGCGGGGGAGCACCACAAGGGGUGAAGCCUGCGGUUCAAUUGGAGUCAACGCCGG
rnacentral:rRNA from 1 species